GCGCGCCCCCGCACGCCCCGCCCUGCGUGCGCGCCCCACACGGCGCGCACGUCCCCGAAGCCCGGGCCGCGGGGCUGGGGGACCGGAAGCCCGGCCGCCCCGCGGCCUCCGGAUGCAGCCGUCUGGAGCGCCGUCCUGCUGCCCCCGCCCUUCCUUUCUCGUGCUCCCGGCCGGCGGGCUCCUCUUUCCCCAAGUUUCCGCGUCUGGGAAAUGGGGGUAAUGGCCGGGGGGUCGGCCCGUUCCCGGCUGGGUGACUUCGGGCAGGUUCACACUUCGAAGUGCACACUUGCGUGAAAAACGAUGGUUGUGGGAGGUCAGCGCAUGUGUGCGUUCACGUUAGCGGUCAACAAACGAUUCAGGAUUCUGAGCUCUGCUUUUCUUCGUUGGAAGAGGAGUCGGUAUUCACACCGCCCUGCAUGAAGCCUGUCCUGUCAGAAAAGAAGGUGAUGUGACCACAGAGCUGACACAUUUCAAGAUGCUGGCAUUAAAAACCAGAGCGAUGCAGCCACAAACCAAGCAGAAACAGCCAACACCGGAAGCUUGAAGAGUCAGGGAACAGUGUCUCCCCUGGAGCCCCCAGAAGGAGUGCAGCCCUGUCAACACCUUACUUUGCCCCAGUGAUACUGAUUUUGGACUCCGGGCCCCCAGAACUGAGAGAAUACAUUUCUGUUUGUUUGAAGCCACCAAGUCUGUGGUAAUUUGCCACAAGAGCUUUAGGAGACCAGUCUACCAUGUAGAACCAGCCACGUGCCCCCGUCUGUCUGGCUCAGUUUCUUCACCUGUAAAAUGGAGAACAAAUGGGACACACUUCACAAGGCUGUUUUGAGCGCCACAGUUAUAAUUCCGUUGUGGAAAGUUUCGUCUGAAGGGCUCGGAAUUGUGUGGCAGGAAGUAAGCGCUCACUGAUGGCUCUCAACUGUCAUCGAGGUGAAGAAGUCAGGAAGGAUCUGCAUUAAAUGACGUCAUUAUCUUGGGCGGUGACGGUGGAUCAUGGAGGACAGUCCUGCCCUACUUCUAUUUGUCUAAAUUCUGGACCCGAUGCUAGUGCCUGUCCAAGGGCUGUAACUGGAAAUCCCCUACAGGCCACUCCCAACCUACGCUGCCCUCAAGGACUGGAGCAGGAGGAACCGCAACACCGGAUCUUACGGCCCUCACGCUCGGAUAGUAGUAGGUCCAAAUUGCUCUUGUCACGUAGGACAGCCACAUGCAGUUGCCCAAAGGAGCUCAGCCCUGGGUCUGGCGCUUCCUGCGCACUGCUCACACUCGAACCCCUCCUUUCCAGGGGCGGCCACACCAUUGGCAGCAGUGAAGGCACCUCCCCCGGGGACGGAACGGUCCGAUCAGACAUCUACAGGAAGUUUCUUUACUGUCUCCCUGCAGACACCAUACACUUCACAGGGAAACAGCCUCCCCCAGAUGGAGAGCCUGGAUCACCGACUGCUCCUUUCCUUUGUGGCUGGGAAUUAACUGGGCACGAAGGUACUUUGUUGUCACCAUGAAGUGCUGACACUUUGUCACCUCUUUACAAAAACGACCACUGCAGAAGGCACGGUGAGUAGCCGAGACUCAACAUGGGUAGCAGCAACCGCACACCCCCGGGGCACUCUGGGUGUCUGCUACUCAUAACUGAAUAAACGCAGCCUUUCUGGACCUUCAGAUUAGGUCCCAUCCAGACAAACAACUGUAAAACCUAAAACAACAAAGUUUAAUACAACUGUAAGAAUUUUCUCAAAUUUUUGAACUGAGAACAAUUUAUACAUUCAGCUAAUUGGAGGAAAAAAACCCAGGACUGACUAAUUCUUGAGGCAAACCUGAGAACAUUUUCUUAAACUUCUGGCUCUUGAUCGUUUUAGUUGACAAGAUGACAGUGGAAAAUGUUGCAAAAUUUAUGGGAAAAACUAAAAAAGCUAUCCAUCUGGUUUAGAUUGAAAAGCUAAAACCUCAUCUCACUUAGCUAUAUGAAACUUGUCUUUUGCUCACUUUUCAUAGAAAGCCAGCACUGAAAUAAAAUGAAAAUGGAACUGGCAAAGAAUAUUUAUUUAGCUGACAAAACCAAACUGUGUCCACCCUGAUUAUCAAGAUCUGUUUCAACUUGUUGGGUGCAUCCUCCACACUAAUAAAGUUAUUUAUUUCCCAUCCUGCUAAAAUAGACCUCCUUAAAUAUAUUUUAAUUUUUUGAGAUGUGGAGUCUUGCACAAAUCCUAUAGACUUCCCAGGAGUAGCAUUUCCCAUUUGUAUCAAGAAACCAACCAAACCCAAGCUACACGGUAUUCUGAGUUCUGAGCCAGGAGAGCAAUUUGACACCAUCUUAAAAAUAUGAAGACCUCUCAAGACAGCAAUAUUACUUCUAGCCCAAAAUUAAGGGGUAUACAAAGAUUUAAUUAGAGACACUCACUGCAAUGUUGUUCUUGAAACUGGCAGCUGUCUAAAUGGUUAAAGCAGGGACUAAUCAAACUAUAGCACAUACGUAAGAUAGAAAAUCAUGUGAGCAUGACAAAUAAUAUUGCAGAAAUACAAUUACUGACAUAGAAUGACAGCCAUGCUACUUUCGUUAGGCAAAACAGCAAAUGAUAAAACAGCAUGUUUAUAAGACUAGAAGGAUACUAACCGCAUAUGUCUGGGUGUUAGGUUUAGGUUUUUUCUUAAUCUGUACUUUCUAUUAUUUAAAAAAAAAAAACACAUUUUGUUUUAAUAACAAAAAAAAAAAAGAAAGAAAGAAAAAAGAAAAAAGAAAUUACCUAUUGCUCUACAAAGUUGAGCACAGAUGGCUG